rnacentral:rRNA from 1 species
CCUACGGGAGGCAGCAGUGGGGAAUCUUGCACAAUGGGCGAAACCCUGACGCAGCAACGCCGCGUGGAGGAUGAAGCCCUUUGGGGCGUAAACUCCUUUCGACUCGGACGAUUAUGACGGUACGAGUGGAAGAAGCACCGGCUAACUUCGUGCCAGCAGCCGCGGUAAUACGAAGGGGGCUAGCGUUGUUCGGAAUUACUGGGCGUAAAGCGCGUGUAGGCGGGUGUCUAAGUCAGGGGUGAAAUGCCGAGGCUCAACCUCGGAACUGCCUUUGAUACUGGAUAUCUGGAGUCCGGGAGAGGUGAGUGGAACUGCGAGUGUAGAGGUGAAAUUCGUAGAUAUUCGCAAGAACACCAGUGGCGAAGGCGGCUCACUGGCCCGGAACUGACGCUGAGACGCGAAAGCGUGGGGAGCAAACAGGAUUAGAUACCCUGGUAGUCCACGCUGUAAACGAUGGAUGCUAGCCGUUGGGGAGCUUGCUCUUCAGUGGCGCAGCUAACGCAUUAAGCAUCCCGCCUGGGGAGUACGGUCGCAAGAUUAAAACUCAAAGGAAUUGACGG